UACAGAGGUCUCAAGCGUUGUUCGGAUUCAUUGGGCGUAAAGGGUGCGUAGGCGGCGUGGUAAGUCGGAUGUGAAAUCUUGGAGCUUAACUCCAAAACUGCAUUCGAUACUGCCGUGCUUGAAGACUGAAGAGGAGAUUGGAAUUUACGGUGUAGCAGUGAAAUGCGUAGAUAUCGUAAGGAAGACCAGUGGCGAAGGCGAAUCUCUGGGCAGAUCUUGACGCUGAUGCACGAAGGCCAGGGGAGCAAACGGG
rnacentral:rRNA from 1 species